rnacentral:rRNA from 1 species
GUGGGGAAUAUUGGACAAUGGGCGGAAGCCUGGUCCAGCCAUGCCGCGUGUGUGAAGAAGGCCUUUUGGUUGUAAAGCACUUUAAGCGAGGAGGAGGCUACCGAGAUUAAUACUCUUGGAUAGUGGACGUUACUCGCAGAAUAAGCACCGGCUAACUCUGUGCCAGCAGCCGCGGUAAUACAGAGGGUGCAAGCGUUAAUCGGAUUUACUGGGCGUAAAGCGCGCGUAGGUGGCCAAUUAAGUCAAAUGUGAAAUCCCCGAGCUUAACUUGGGAAUUGCAUUCGAUACUGGUUGGCUAGAGUAUGGGAGAGGAUGGUAGAAUUCCAGGUGUAGCGGUGAAAUGCGUAGAGAUCUGGAGGAAUACCGAUGGCGAAGGCAGCCAUCUGGCCUAAUACUGACACUGAGGUGCGAAAGCAUGGGGAGCAAACAGGAUUAGAUACCCGUGUAGUCC